rnacentral:rRNA from 1 species
ACUAGCAGUAAGAGUUUGAUCAUGGCUCAGAACGAACGCUGGCGGCAGGCCUAACACAUGCAAGUCGAGCGGGCGCGAGCGAUCGCGUCAGCGGCGCACGGGUGAGUAACGCGUGGGAACCUGCCCUUUGGUUCGGAACAACCCUGGGAAACUAGGGCUGAUACCGGAUGAGCCCUGUACGAGAGUAUGGGGGAAAGAUUUAUCGCCGAAGGAGGGGCCCGCGUCCGAUUAGCUAGUUGGUGGGGUAAUGGCCUACCAAGGCUGCGAUCGGUAGCCGGUCUGAGAGGACGAUCGGCCACACUGGGACUGAGACACGGCCCAGACUCCUACGGGAGGCAGCAGUGGGGAAUAUUGGACAAUGGGCGCAAGCCUGAUCCAGCCAUGCCGCGUGGGUGAUGAAGGCCUUCGGGUUGUAAAGCCCUUUUGGCGGGGACGAUGAUGACGGUACCCGCAGAAUAAGCCCCGGCUAACUUCGUGCCAGCCGCCGCGGUAAUAC